GCAGAAUAGAAAGGAAAACCACAGAUGCUGAGGUGUAGAUAAGCCAUGCUCCCCAAGGGGGUAACUCAUCAAGCCAGAUCCCCAUCAAGCUCAGCUGCUCCCAGGUGCGUGGACUCCGACACUUCCAAACAUCCUUCUCCUGCAGCCACGUGCCCUACGCCCGCAGCUGGGAAAUGUGGAAGAGACAUGGUGUCAGCUCUUUGCCAGAUGGGACACUGAUGCAUAGAGAAAAUCCUUCAGGGUAAUUUUAGCCAGCUUUGGGAGAAGACUCAAGGUGACCUUCAUGCGUGGUAAGAUCUAACACUGCAGACAAAAAGUAGAAUGUUAGGAUUGCUUUUGUAUAGAAGGAGGUACUGAAAUAGUAAUAUGUACACAUAGAUGUGUUAAAAUGUGCCUCCAACAUAAGAUCAGACAUAAGCAUAAAAUAAUGGGACUUUCUGCCCUGCUGUGUGUCCUUUGAGGCACUCAGGCCAUAGAGAGAUAAUGGAGAAGACACACAUCACUGGGCAGGUGUGUUCUCCGGGUGGGUGAACUACUACUACAAGUUAAUAGAGGGACUAUAAUCUAAAAAAAAUAAGAAAGGGGGAUGAGGGUGGGGAUGAAACAACUCCUAGUACCCUGUCAUGUACAUUAACUGUGAUUAGCACUUCAGGAUACAAUUAGGAUACUAAAGGUUCUCUGCAGGGUGGCACACCAUAAUAAAUCGUAUGAUGCAUCUGACCUACAGGAAUGGUCAGGAUCCAGAUUUUUUCUUCUUGAAAGAAAACAUAAUUAAUGGGAAUAGCUCUUGAUAGAUGUCAGAAGUGAGAUGAUGGAACAGAGGGAGCAUAUCAGUCCUACUGGAGUUCUACAAUAAAACAGCAAAAUGACAGUAGGAAAAAAAAUACUUUAAAAAUACCUUAGCUUGGAAAUGGAGAAGGUUGCCUGAGAAGGUGUCUCAGAGUGUAUAACAGUUUGUUUAGUGGUGUAGUUGCACAGUGAAAUGAUUUCCAAGGAGAAUAUUGAUCUUGAGGGAUGUGUUCCAGCCUUACCAUAUGCCAAUCUGGAAUACGUUACCAAAUAGACUUUUCCAUCCUCUGUGGUUUAAUGCCUCUCUCUACAUAGAUUCAGUGAAACAUCUGCAAAGGAUGUCAAUUUGCAUUUUGUUGUGCUUGAAUAAUAACUACUAUUCAUUUAUCUACAGGACAGUGACAGUGUGUGUGCACUGCCAUACAGACAUGUGCCUUCUGACAAGAGCAAAUCCCUGGAGUCCUGCAGCUCACUGUGGGUUCCCUCUCCAGUGGGUAUGGAAGUGAUCAGCCAGGAGGCACGGAGAAGAGCAGCAUGGGCAAGAACAGCUUUAAGCCAUCUUCAGUGCUCCCUCAGUGCUGGGGAUUGCUGAUGUGAAUGGAGUUCAGAAGUGUCGUGUAAAUAUUUACGUGUGAAGUGGAUGCUGCUUGUGACUGGUACCCAUGGGAAAUACACCAAAAAAGUGGAAAGCUGUGGUUGUUAUUAGCAGCAGCAGCGCUACGGAGCAGCCUGCACUGUCACACAUCUGUUUGGCAGCUGCUUUUGUGAGCAUAUUACUCUCACCACAUUUAAACCACUUGUAACAUGGCCCUGACCUUUAGAUUUUGGUCUGUAUUCAUACAUAGUUAAAAACAUGUAAUUAUCCCGAUCUGUCUCCUGAUGAAUCAUCCUUGCAAAUUUCACCAUUAACAGUCCCACCUGCUUGUAUUAUUCCGAAACUGCAGAUUACUGCUCAAUGUAGUUUUGUCCCCAGGCUGCCAGAGAGCUCUGUAAGUUAUGACCAGGCUUCUCCUCUUCCUCACACCUCUCAUUUACCAAGAGUAUGUAAGGCAGAUUAAUUUGUGUCACAUGUGUAAUUAACAAUGUUACCCUUACAUGUUUCAUUGAGGGAAAAAAAAGAAAAAAACAAACAACACCUUAUGGAUUUCUGCAUUUCCUUAUCAAUUGCCCAAAGUGUGCUUCAGCCUGGUACAAGAUACUGUUUGUGAGGGCUAAGAACCCCUCAGUUUCUCUGUUCUGCCCCACUACUUCGUUUGUUUUUUGGUAGAACAUAUUUCUGCUAAUUUUCUAACUAAGGACUGCUGUGACCUCCAGGCUGGCAGUCUGUUACCUAGCAAGGACAGGGUACUAUACAUGAACUCUACAUAUGUUUGUGUAUUUUUUUUUUUUUUCUAAAUCACAUAUUUUAUAGGUGUGAUUAACAGCAGUUCAGGCACAAAUACAGAUGUGGCUACUUACUCGAUCUUGUGUGCUGCAAAGUGAGUGGUUAGCAGAAUGCUGACUCUCAGGUCUGUCACUCCUACAGCACUCAGCAAUUACCCAGCACUGCCCACCCAACCUCUCCAAGCACUAUGCACACACAAGGAGUGUAUGUUCCCAGUGCAGGGAAGGGAGAUGCCUUUGUGACCUGCCACCGGUCCCUCAGCAAAUCGGCGGCUGUGCUGGAGGCAGCAGUGAUGUCCUCCGAAGCUCCACUGCAGUUGCAUGUCUGCUGCAUUGCCCUGCCUCCACCAUGAGCUAUUCCAGUCCAGCCACCUCCAGUGCCUUGCAUAUUUGAUACCACAUUAUGCAUGUUAAAACAUUCUGCACCUACAUGUAAGUGACUGUGUUUCAUACAUCCUGAUAGCCCAUCCAAUUUCACUGAAAAUAACAGCUUGGUAUUUUACUGUUCUGCCAACGUGCAGGGACUAAUCAAAAGUGCUCUGCAUUCAUUUUCUGCUUGGAAAGGGACAAGACUGAUAUCUCAGGAAAAGCAAGCAAGAAAAAAAAGUGAACGCCACAAAUUACCAAUCCCAGUUUGACCCUGGGAUAUUUGCUGAUAUGGCCUUCACAACUUUGGUGAGCACAACAUUUAUCUCACAAUGAAGGUUUCUGACAGUACUACUAAUAUUCCUUGGGUUCAGUUUCACUUUUAGCUACUUCCAAACUUUGUCUACUUUCUUUCUACUGCAUGUAGAAACCAAUCAUGCCCAUGCUCAUACUUCUAAGGUAGUUAACAAUCUAAGAAAAAAAAAUAAUCUUCUCACUUGAUGUUCCUUGUUGGCCAAAUACGGAAGCAAUCAGUGUCUUCAAACAGACCUGCAAAUCAUCUGUGCAGAGUAUUUUCAGGUUCUCAUCACAGCCUCAGCUGCUGGAAACAACAAGACCAGUGUCUUGGAGGCUAAAAGGCACUGCUACAGGCACAGCUUUGCUGGAAUGCCAAGCAGGCUCUCAGAUCAGUCCCUGCGAAUAUCAACCUGCAGUAUCUCCUUGCCUUAUUUUCUCAUCUGCUUCUGCUUGUAAGGUUUUUCCACUGAGGUUCUUCUGGCUCCAGGUAUUGUGUAAAUUGUCUUGUGAAUUCUGCUUCUCCAGUAUUUGUGAUUGAGACCUGACCACAAGUACUCCUAAAGCCCAGAGAGUCCUUCUGCACAGAAUGAAACGUGAAAGCCAGGCUAUCACUGCCUACCGUUGUGCUACCACCCAAGUCUCUUCUACCUAAAACACAGAUUUACACAAAAAUGAGUUGGGAUGAGUAGACUAGGUACUUGU